UUAAGCGACUAAGCGUACACGGUGGAUGCCCUGGCAGUCAGAGGCGAUGAAGGACGUGCUAAUCUGCGAAAAGCGUCGGUAAGGUGAUAUGAACCGUUAUAACCGGCGAUGUCCGAAUGGGGAAACCCAGUGCAAUUCGUUGCACUAUCGUUAACUGAAUACAUAGGUUAACGAGGCGAACCGGGGGAACUGAAACAUCUAAGUACCCCGAGGAAAAGAAAUCAACCGAGAUUCCCCCAGUAGCGGCGAGCGAACGGGGAGCAGCCCAGAGUCUGAAUCAGCUUGUGUGUUAGUGGAACGGUCUGGAAAGUCCGACGGUACAGGGUGAUAGUCCCGUACACCAAAAUGCACAGGCUGUGAACUCGAAGAGUAGGGCGGGACACGUGGUAUCCUGUCUGAAUAUGGGGGGACCAUCCUCCAAGGCUAAAUACUCCUGACUGACCGAUAGUGAACCAGUACCGUGAGGGAAAGGCGAAAAGAACCCCGGCGAGGGGAGUGAAAAAGAACCUGAAACCGUGUACGUACAAGCAGUGGGAGCACCUUCGGGUGUGACUGCGUACCUUUUGUAUAAUGGGUCAGCGACUUAUAUUCUGUAGCAAGGUUAACCGUAUAGGGGAGCCGCAGGGAAACCGAGUCUUAACUGGGCGUUAAGUUGCAGGGUAUAGACCCGAAACCCGGUGAUCUAGCCAUGGGCAGGUUGAAGGUUGGGUAACACUAACUGGAGGACCGAACCGACUAAUGUUGAAAAAUUAGCGGAUGACUUGUGGCUGGGGGUGAAAGGCCAAUCAAACCGGGAGAUAGCUGGUUCUCCCCGAAAGCUAUUUAGGUAGCGCCUCGUGAACUCAUCUUCGGGGGUAGAGCACUGUUUCGGCUAGGGGGUCAUCCCGACUUACCAACCCGAUGCAAACUACGAAUACCGAAGAAUGUUAUCACGGGAGACACACGGCGGGUGCUAACGUCCGUCGUGAAGAGGGAAACAACCCAGACCGCCAGCUAAGGUCCCAAAGUCAUGGUUAAGUGGGAAACGAUGUGGGAAGGCACAGACAGCCAGGAUGUUGGCUUAGAAGCAGCCAUCAUUUAAAGAAAGCGUAAUAGCUCACUGGUCGAGUCGGCCUGCGCGGAAGAUGUAACGGGGCUAAACCAUGCACCGAAGCUGCGGCAGCGACACUAUGUGUUGUUGGGUAGGGGAGCGUUCUGUAAGCCUGCGAAGGUGUGCUGUGAGGCAUGCUGGAGGUAUCAGAAGUGCGAAUGCUGACAUAAGUAACGAUAAAGCGGGUGAAAAGCCCGCUCGCCGGAAGACCAAGGGUUCCUGUCCAACGUUAAUCGGGGCAGGGUGAGUCGACCCCUAAGGCGAGGCCGAAAGGCGUAGUCGAUGGGAAACAGGUUAAUAUUCCUGUACUUGGUGUUACUGCGAAGGGGGGACGGAGAAGGCUAUGUUAGCCGGGCGACGGUUGUCCCGGUUUAAGCAUGUAGGCUGGUUGUCCAGGCAAAUCCGGAUAAUCAAGGCUGAGGUGUGAUGACGAGGCACUACGGUGCUGAAGUAACAAAUGCCCUGCUUCCAGGAAAAGCCUCUAAGCAUCAGGUAACAUCAAAUCGUACCCCAAACCGACACAGGUGGUCAGGUAGAGAAUACCAAGGCGCUUGAGAGAACUCGGGUGAAGGAACUAGGCAAAAUGGUGCCGUAACUUCGGGAGAAGGCACGCUGGUGUGUAGGUGAAGCCCCUGCGGGUGGAGCUGAGACCAGUCGAAGAUACCAGCUGGCUGCAACUGUUUAUUAAAAACACAGCACUGUGCAAACACGAAAGUGGACGUAUACGGUGUGACGCCUGCCCGGUGCCGGAAGGUUAAUUGAUGGGGUUAUCCGUAAGGAGAAGCUCUUGAUCGAAGCCCCGGUAAACGGCGGCCGUAACUAUAACGGUCCUAAGGUAGCGAAAUUCCUUGUCGGGUAAGUUCCGACCUGCACGAAUGGCGUAAUGAUGGCCAGGCUGUCUCCACCCGAGACUCAGUGAAAUUGAACUCGCUGUGAAGAUGCAGUGUACCCGCGGCAAGACGGAAAGACCCCGUGAACCUUUACUAUAGCUUGACACUGAACAUUGAGCCUUGAUGUGUAGGAUAGGUGGGAGGCUUUGAAGCGUGGACGCCAGUCUGCGUGGAGCCAACCUUGAAAUACCACCCUUUAAUGUUUGAUGUUCUAACGUUGGCCCCUGACCGGGGUUGCGGACAGUGUCUGGUGGGUAGUUUGACUGGGGCGGUCUCCUCCCAAAGCGUAACGGAGGAGCACGAAGGUUAGCUAAUCCUGGUCGGACAUCAGGAGGUUAGUGCAAUGGCAUAAGCUAGCUUGACUGCGAGCGUGACGGCGCGAGCAGGUGCGAAAGCAGGUCAUAGUGAUCCGGUGGUUCUGAAUGGAAGGGCCAUCGCUCAACGGAUAAAAGGUACUCCGGGGAUAACAGGCUGAUACCGCCCAAGAGUUCAUAUCGACGGCGGUGUUUGGCACCUCGAUGUCGGCUCAUCACAUCCUGGGGCUGAAGUAGGUCCCAAGGGUAUGGCUGUUCGCCAUUUAAAGUGGUACGCGAGCUGGGUUUAGAACGUCGUGAGACAGUUCGGUCCCUAUCUGCCGUGGGCGCUGGAGAAUUGAGGGGGGCUGCUCCUAGUACGAGAGGACCGGAGUGGACGCAUCACUGGUGUUCGGGUUGUCAUGCCAAUGGCACUGCCCGGUAGCUAAAUGCGGAAGAGAUAAGUGCUGAAAGCAUCUAAGCACGAAACUUGCCCCGAGAUGAGUUCUCCCUGAGACUUUAAGUCUCCUGAAGGAACGUUAAAGACGAUGACGUUGAUAGGCCGGGUGUGUAAGCGCAGCGAUGCGUUGAGCUAACCGGUACUAAUGAACCGUGAGGCUUAACCUU
rnacentral:rRNA from 1 species